CCCACUUCAUUUUCUAUGUUUAGUGGACCGUGAAAUUGGGGUCAAAAGUCUAAUUUGGCUUUAAAAUUCAAAAGAUCAUAUCAUAAGCAACAAGUUUACUAAGUUUCAAGUUGAUUGGACUUCAGCUUCAUCAAAAACUAACUUGACCAAAAACUUUAACCUGAAACUCCCACUUUCAUUUUCUAUGUUCAGUGGACGGUGAAAUUCGGGUCAAAAGUCUAAUUUGGCUUAAAUUAGAAAGAUCAUAUAAUAAGCAACAAGUGUACUAAGUUUCAAGUUGAUUGGACUUCAGCUUCAUCAAAAACUACCUUGACCAAAAACUUUAACCUGGACGGACGGACGGACGAACGGAAGCACAGACGGACGAACGGAGCCACAGACCAGAAAACAUAAUGCCCCUCUACUAUCGUAGGUGGGGCAUAAAAAUAUCUUCAUUGAGGCAGAAUUGCUCAACUAGCAAAAUAAUCAUGCCAUGUUGAUAUCUAUAUAUUUUAAGCUUUUUAGUAUUUAUUACUGAAGACAAAUGAUUUGCUUACAAAUCAUUGGAGAAUCAGACCUUAAAUUUCCAUUACCAAUCAAUUGUCGAUUUUUGUCUAUUGAAUUGUUUCAUGUUUUUCAUGUUGUGGUCUUUUGUAGCCAACUAUAUGGUAGACACUUUUUCUCACUGUUGAAUGCUGUACAAAUUCAAUUGCUUACAUAAGCUUCAUUUGAACUUCUGUGGCUUCUUGUCUCAUUGGAAAUCGUACCACAUCUCCUUAUAUUCAUUUUGGUCAUCACUGUAUUUACAACCAAUGAAAUGACUUAUUAUAUCAACUUUGUUGUUUAUUUUUUCUUAGCUGUACAUGUAUGGGUUUCAGGGUAAUAAACACACAAAACAAGAAUGUGUCCAUUGUACACAGAUGCCUUAUCCGCACUAUCAUUUUCUAUGUUCAGUGGACCGUGAAAAGGGGGAAAAUCUCUAAUUUGCCAUUAAAAUUAGAAAGAUCAAUCUUAAGGAACAUGUGCACAAAGUUUCAAGUUGAUUGGACUUCAACUUCAUCAAAAACUACCUCGAUCAAAAACUUUAACAUAAAACAGGACAGACAGGCGGACGAACAGAUGGACGGACAAUGAGCGGACGAACAGAUGGACGGACAAUGAGCGAACGAACAGACCAGAAAACAUAAUGCCAUGGCCCAUAAAAUAAUUGUCAUUAAAGGGCAACAACUCCAUUACUUAAUAAGUAACUGAGUUGCAAUAAGUCUUUUCUAUUAACUACGGUUUUUCAAAAAAUUAAACAUGUGGAUAUUUACAAUGUAUACCUUUUAGUCAAGAUACCUGAUAACUAGUGUGUAACUACAUUUACUUGUACAAUAAUAAGAUCUAGAGAAAGUUUAUGAAAAUUACAGAUUUAUACAUUUCAAAACACGUUCAGUCACAGCUGUUAAUAUACAUGAAUAAAGUUAGAAAAAUGGAACCAGUUGGUUGGAAAAAUGGAACCAACUGGUUGGAAAAUGGAACCAGUUGGUUAGAAAAAUGGAACCAGUUGUUUGGAAAAAUGGAACUAGAUGGUUGGAAAAAUGGAACUAGUUGGUUGAAAAAAAUGGAACCAGUUGGUUGGAAAAAUUGGAACCAGUUUGUUUGAAAAAUGGAACCAGUUGGUUGGAAAAAUGGAACCAGUUGGUUAGAAAAAUGGAACCAGUUGGUUAGAAAAAUGGAACAAGUUGGGUUUGAAAAAUGGACAAAUAGGUUAGAAAAAUGGAACCAUGGUUAUAACCAGGUGCUUUGCAGGGUGCAGCUUUAUACGACCACAGAGGUCCAACCCUGAACAGUUGAGGCAAGUAUGGACACAACAUUCAAGCUUGAUACAGCUCUGAAUUUGAAUUGUAAUCAAAUUUUUGACAUAAUAUAGGUUUCUGACACAAAACAAAUGUCAUGAUCUUACAAAUCUAUUGCCAAAUACUGUCAUGACUGUGCAACUAAAGAUUUUU
rnacentral:lncRNA from 1 species